UGCUGACUGGACGACCACGAUGUUUUUUCCUCCAAAGUAUUUCAAAUUUUACAGCCAUUUCAGACCUGAAAAUCCACUGAAAAUAGAUCAAGAGUGAGGUGAGAUGUACACCAAGAACAAUGAUCCACUGAGAUGUGUCAGACGUAAACCAGGGAAUUCUCAAUUAAUCCACCUUAACAUGAAGUGAAGAACAACAGUUUUUGUUUGAAGGAAUGAUGUGUCGGCAUCAGCAAGAAGAGCCUUCUGCCAAGUGGAGUCCAAAGCCUACCUCAAAAGUAAUCUACAAAAGAUCCAGUGAAGCUGAAAUGACAUCCUUCAAUUAACUAACUGGAGAGCUGCAGACAUGUUUAUCAACAUUGAGAUGAUCUAAUGAAGCUGAAAGGACAGUCACCAAUCAACUAACUGGGCAGCUGUGCAACGACAUCUCCCUUCAGAUGAUCAACUAAUCCAGACAGAGAGUGUCGGAUCUCCAUUCAAAUCCCAGUCCAUCACCAGUGGAGAUGCAGUGCUGGUCAACAGUAAUUUAGUGUUUGUAGCUUUGAAUUUAUAACUACUUGUAUCUGGGAUGGAUCUGAAGGUUUAAUAUAAUAUCACCAAGAUAAUGACGGCUUUUCUUGAAAGAGCAUCAUUGUCUGCAAGAUUGAAAUGUGCACAUCCUUAAUGUGGUGAAUCAUUCAUACUUUCCUUGUGUGGUGAUCUACCUAUAUUUACCCAU